rnacentral:piRNA from 1 species
ACCUUGGGGUCUGUGGUCUUUUU